UGAUGAUCAAUUAUAAAUGCAAUAUGGUUGAAAGCUUGACAAAAAUGUAGUUUGAAGGAGAAGGGACAGCUGAGUAACAAAGUCCUGGUACGCAGACGACGAUACUAUUACACUGACAAGAGUGUAAUGAUGAUGGAGACACAAGCCAGAGAACGGGGGGACCAAACACCAGGCCAGAAUUCUGCAUGAGUCAGAUCCAGUGGGUGCAGAUCAUCAUACAGAUGGUUCAAGUGUGGAUCCACCUGAUAUUCAAGAUUUUCUCUCCUGAGACCCUCAGCUGACCAUCAAGAAAGAACACACUCCAGGGGGCAUCCUUUUUCCAGACCCUCAUACAGAUGGUUGGAGUUUUGAUUCACCUAAAGUACCAUGCAA